rnacentral:rRNA from 1 species
AUUGAACGCUGGCGGCAGGCCUAACACAUGCAAGUCGAGCGGGGGUAGCAAUACCCUAGCGGCGAACGGGUGAGUAAUGCCUAGGAAUCUGCCUCGUAGUGGGGGACAACGUUUCGAAAGGAACGCUAAUACCGCAUACGUCCUACGGGAGAAAGUGGGGGAUCUUCGGACCUCACGCUAUGAGAUGAGCCUAGGUACGAUUAGCUAGUUGGUGGGGUAAAGGCUCACCAAGGCGACGAUCGUUAACUGGUCUGAGAGGAUGAUCAGUCACACUGGAACUGGGACACGGACCAGACACCUACGGGAGGCAGCAGUGGGGAAUAUUGGACAAUGGGGGAAACCCUGAUCCAGCCAUGCCGCGUGUGUGAAGAAGGCCUUCGGGUUGUAAAGCACUUUAAGCAGGGAGGAAGGUUUGCUGGUUAAUACCUGGCAAAAUUGACGUUACCUGCAGAAUAAGCACCGGCUAACUCUGUGCCAGCAGCCGCCGUAA